AUUGAACGCUGGCGGCAGGCCUAACACAUGCAAGUCGAACGGCAGCACAGAAGAGCUUGCUCUUUGGGUGGCGAGUGGCGGACGGGUGAGUAAUGUCUGGGAAACUGCCCGAUGGAGGCGGAUAACUACUGGAAACGGUAGCUAAUACCGCAUAACGUCGCGAGACCAAAGUUGGGGACCUUCGGGCCUCAGACAAUCGGAUAUGCCCAGAUGGGAUUAGCUAGUAGGUGGGGUAAUGGCUCACCUAGGCGACGAUCCCUAGCUGGUCUGAGAGGAUGACCAGCCACACUGGAACUGAGACACGGUCCAGACUCCUACGGGAGGCAGCAGUGGGGAACAUUGCACAAUGGGCGCAAGCCUGAUGCAGCCAUGCCGCGUGUAUGAAGAAGGCCUUCGGGUUGUAAAGUACUUUCAGCGGGGAGGAAGGCGGUGAGGUUAAUAACCUUGCCGAUUGACGUUACCCGCAGAAGAAGCACCGGCUAACUCCGUGCCAGCAGCCGCGGUAA
rnacentral:rRNA from 1 species